rnacentral:rRNA from 1 species
GUGUUCCUAGGGAGGCAGCAGUGGGGAAUAUUGCACAAUGGGCGAAAGCCUGAUGCAGCAACGCCGCGUGAAGGAAGACGGUGUUCGGAUUGUAAACUUCUGUUCUUAGUGAAGAAUAAUGACGGUAACUAAGGAGCAAGCCACGGCUAACUACGUGCCAGCAGCCGCGGUAAUACGUAGGUGGCAAGCGUUGUCCGGAAUUACCGGGUGUAAAGGGAGCGUAGGCGGGAAGCCAAGUCAGCUGUGAAAACUACGGGCUUAACCUGUAGACUGCAGUUGAAACUGGCUUUCUUGAGUGAAGUAGG